rnacentral:rRNA from 1 species
CCUACGGGGGGCUGCAGUGGGGAAUCUUGCGCAAUGGCCGAAAGGCUGACGCAGCGACGCCGCGUGGAGGAUGACGCCCUUCGGGGUGUAAACUCCUGUUGCCCGGGACGAACGACCUGUUUCGACAGGUGUGACGGUACCGGGUGAGGAAGCACCGGCUAACUCUGUGCCAGCAGCCGCGGUAAUACAGAGGGUGCGAGCGUUGUCCGGAGGCGCUGGGCGUGAGUGGCGCGUUGGCGGCUGGGUUGGCGAACGUCCGGGGCUCAACCCCGGAUCGGCCAUGAGAACUGUCCAGCUGGAGCACGGGAGAGGCACGUGGAAUUCCGGGUGUAGCGGUGGAAUGCGUAGAGAUCCGGAAGAACACCGGUGGCGAAGGCGGUGUGCUGGGCCGUAGCUGACGCUGAGGCGCGACAGCGUGGGGAGCAAACAGGAUUAGAUACCCCUGUAGUC